UACGGAGGGAGCUAGCGUUGUUCGGAAUUACUGGGCGUAAAGCGCGCGUAGGCGGCUUUGUAAGUUAGAGGUGAAAGCCCGGGGCUCAACUCCGGAAUUGCCUUUAAGACUGCAUCGCUAGAAUUGUGGAGAGGUAAGUGGAAUUCCGAGUGUAGAGGUGAAAUUCGUAGAUAUUCGGAAGAACACCAGUGGCGAAGGCGACUUACUGGACACAUAUUGACGCUGAGGUGCGAAAGCGUGGGGGAGCAAACAAG
rnacentral:rRNA from 1 species